ensembl:lncRNA
GUGUGCACGAGCUCGUGUCGGCUGGAGGGAGGUGUGGAUCCACUACCCUUUGCUAAGGGCCACCUUGCUUCCCCAUAGGCAGAUACGUGCUCUUGCACAUGGCCUGGCCAUCUGCAGUCUAAUUCACCCUGCAUCUCACCUGGUGCCAUACCUCCCUUCCCUAAAUAAAAGAGCUGGGAAGCAGCAUGGCAUUGAGAACCAGCCCUGGGUAGCAGAUCAGAGGAGCCUGAGCUUACAUGGUCACACUAGAUGUUAAGCAGGCUUAUUUCCCCUCUGCUCUCCCAUGCUGUCCCAUCUGCACAGGCUGGUAUCUGCAUCCUUGCUUCCUGUUGAUCACACACACUUCAGUGACCCCACUGAUGGCAUCCAUCAACCAGUCAAGGCUCUACAUGUCUCCAGACAGCCGUUAUUCCAAUUCCACAUCGCUACCCUGGAAAAAAAGUCCUCAGCUCCUCUCUAGAGAGGGGUGGGAAUCAAAACAUUGACAGCAAUAUAUGGCCACAGCUACUAAAGUAACUUUACUGAGGAUGGGUUCGUGCCUAGCUGUACCCUGUGCCCUUUCAGUUUGCCUGAAGAGGGCAUGUGGCUCCUCUGUUCCUGUCUAAACACACAGGAAACCGGCCAGCUGCAUGAUCUGACGCUCUAAAUUUGAGCAGCAUCUUCACUGCUUCAUCCUGCCUCUGCAGAGCAGGCAGCGAGCACGCACCUGCAGCUCCGGUUUUGCCUCUUGCUGAGGUCACCAGUUUGUCAUCCGCAGCCCUGAAUGCUGCGCAGCAAGGAGGAGCACGUCUGCGAGUGCAUUCCUGCAGAAGAGGGGAAAUGCAGGGUGGAGCAGCAACCAGCAGCUGACACUGUUUGCUACGCACUUGCUCACCACGAGGCUCAGGACGCUGCCCGCUCCUUGAAUGUUUCCUUGAUUACUUAUUCCCAGCAUACUCACACACACAAACACACACUCACCCGCUUCUCUCAGAAGACUGGAAGGACGGGCUACCAGGAAAACAAUAGCAUUUCUCCCACUCGCAGCUGUGUGACAUUUGUUUUUGUUUCUCCAGGUGGCUUUUCUGUGCUAGCAGAACAUCUCACUCCUCAGAUUUUGACUUCUCUUGCCUCUUCUUGUCGGUGUUGGACACGGCCAUCAGUAGACACAGUUCUGAGCAAUCACCGAGGAAGGUUUUUCUUAUGCACUGUGGUAAUUGUGUCAGAACUCAAGGCAGUCCCACCGGUGUUCAGGUUUCAUCUGCCAUUCCCAGAGGAUUUCAUUACUCCCGCACAACCCUUUUUUCCUAGCAAGAUUUCACAUUGCCAGCGUGGACUUACCAAAUUGAUUCCCCGGAAGAAAAUAUCACGAUUAUAUUCACAAAGCUGAGAGGAAGACAGCCACUUUUUAUUCGCUCAUAAAGGAUGUGGGAGUCCUGGGUUUAAUUUCCUCCUCUGCCUGGGGGAACUAGAACCAGCAUCACUUAUCUCCCAAGAGAAUGCCAUAAGGUUGUGCUGUGCUGCAUACUAAGCAGUGAGGCUGCAAGUAAAAGUCAACACCUGAAGAGGAAGUAAUAAUUUUUGUCUUUGCUCUCCUUUCCUCUCCCCUCCUGCAUGCCUGUGUCUUCAAAUGAGCAAAGCAGAAUCCCAAAAUGAGUACUAACAGCAGAUCCAGUCUAUCUCAAUGAGUGUCUCCCAAAAAACAAACCUCACAGGACUGUGCCCCGUUGGCCACCAGACUAGAGGGACAGCCUCUCAGCUCCACUAUCCCCCUGUGAGUGGGAUCCCUUCUUCUCACUUCUCUUUUGGGUGCUUGAAUGUUUUGCUUUCAAUUAAAUGCAAUUUUCACUGUGAAAUACAGCUAUUCCUUUGCAGUUUUUCAGCAAGAGACAUAAAACCUAACCAGACUCAUCUGUUCCUACUGAGGUGAUGUUUUCUUCUUUCCUGCUGAACCAAACAGCACUUAUUCAUAUCUCGCUGCUAUUUUUAAGAGUGGGGCCCAGCUGUAUGGCAUUCAGAAGCACCACUAAAACUUCAACAGCAGAGUACACAUCAUAGUACAUUCUGGUUAGAGAAAUGACUGGCAGUCAUUUUUGCAAUGAGUGCUGUCUGUAUCGAUGCAUGUGUGCGUAUUUAUUACAUUAGUCACCUCCGCUACUAGAAUGACUUGCAAUUAAGAUUGCUGUAGUACCUGAAAUGUCACAUUGCUUGCCUUCAUUCUGAAAGGGGCACUGCCUUAACCAGAUAAAGCAAAGAGAGACAUAUGAGGGCAUGACCAGACUUAUCCUUAUAACCACAUUAGAAUGGCUGGAAAUGUUACCACUUCUCAGCAGAGAAGUAUAUUUUAGCUGGGACAGAGUCACUGGCCGCAUGUAAGCUCUCAGUCUCUUGAACUGCAAAGCAAGAUGACUUUCAGACGUGAAAGGAACUAACCCAUUUCAUUUUGCAUUUGCCAUACAUGCCCAUAGGGUUCUCACAUCUUCGCUGAGAGACAACCACCUCCAACCACAGUGGCACACAUUUCCUAAGUUCUUAUAGUGUGACACAAAGAACAUAAGCUGAUACGCAAACACAGUAAUUAGUAUAGGAGUACCCACCUGGCUGAUGCGCUGCAUCCGUUUGCUUGUGCUCAGAGGUUGGUAUGAGCUUACAUUUUAUCUCACGUGUGAAGUGUGGAGCCAGGACCUGCCCCUCCAGCAGGUUAUGGCAUGUGCUCGCUGCUUGGGCCUCCCAGGAACUCCAGCAGGUCACUGAGAAUCACAGUGCAAGGCACCAACAGUCCUGGUCUUUGUUCACAAGGCCCUUUCCUUCGAACAGCAUAGAAAAACAAUCAGAUCACUUACUGUCAGUGGGCAGCGUUGAACCCUGAAUAUUGGGAUGGCUGCAUGGCAUAGACAAGCCGUUCAACUUACUCUUUUGCUCUUCUGAACUAAUCAACUCGGAUGGUCAAACUGGCACAAAAGUACGUUUUCUUGUGUUUGGUUUGGUUAUUUUUUUUCCCCCACAGGACUCAUUCGCUUAUGUCAAUCAACUUGAAACAAAAUCAAAUACAAGUUUCCAUGUUUGUGGGUCUCCCGGAGAGGAAAAGGCAGUAAGCAUGUUUGCUGCUAUCCUUUUUCCUUUCAAAUGUUUGUAUUUCAUGAAUUACUCUUGCCACAAAAGUGUUCAUAGUAAAUGCAGAGGAAAGAACAAGAUUACCUGCUUUGAACGCCAUCAGAUUUACGCAUUUGGACAGGAUCUCAUCUGCCAGGUGGUAGAAGAACUUCUGAGUAACUACAAUGAAGUACCCAAGCCAAAGGUUUGGAAAAUUGAUCUGCAGGUAGUACUUAGGGUGACUUAUAUGCUCGUUCAGGCUGCUGUGCUGGUUUCGGGUAGGACAAAACACUCUUUUCUUCUUCUUUUUUUCUUCCAAAAACAUUGUCAGUUCCCUAUAGGCCUGCUCUGCAGGGCUCUAUGGCCAGUUUCCCUAUCGUCUUAAAACAACCCUCCAAACACCUGCUAUCUUUCAAACACCUUUUAUUUUGUACGCCAUAGUAUGAAGUUUUUGUGUGGUUGUUCAAGUCCUUAGUGAAUGUCAGUGGUAGUCUCUGAAAACACCUGACUAAGUAGGAACCAUCUAACCCUUGGGAGCUAUUGACUGCUGCCUCCAAGGGCGUAAUUAGCAAGUGGCAGAACUUGCCAUGCAGGUCAUGUUUUACAAGAUCUCACAGUAUCGGUAUUGAUUAUGAUUAGAUUAGAUUGGGCUGAUGGUAAAUGCUUAUUUAUGAGAUUUUCAGGCAAAUAGUGAAUAUCUUGUCAUGAGCAUCACCAAGUAUGCUUUUCACACAACUCUAGGAUGAGUUAUAAACUUCAUAUAUGCAUGUGCAUGUGUAUGAUAGAAGAGAGAGGACAAGCCACAGAAAGGCCAGGAUCCUGUAUUUAACACCUUACAAGCUGAAGGCACAAAUGAGUUCAACACACCAAGAGGGAAUUUCACAUUAAAAAGAACAGCUUUUGGAAACCCCUAUUCUGCACUUGCCUGCCAGCCGAUGGCACAUAUAAGGAAGAUGGCAGCAAAUACAAUCGGGCUGGCACACCAUGUGUUAUUGCCUUGACACUGAUUGUAAGGAGAUUUUCACACACUUGCGCAAGGGAGAAUGUUAUUUUUCAGUCCUUCCAAAUAUGUCGGUGGUUUUCUGAACCCUUAAAACUCCAUGCAUCUGUUAGAAA